UCCGUGUUCAUGCUGCUGAACAAUGUGGAUGACAGGAAAGGCCAGGUGAUGGCUCCAGUAUCUGAAAGCUCAAGGAAGAUCAUGUUUUAUGAACAAGGCUGCUGCAAACAAGCAAAAUGGGUCAAUUAAAUUGAAAGAAAGACAUCAAGGAGCAUUUCUGCUCUGCUUUAGUUUUGGGGAGGAAUUGUCACAAACUCCAGGAAUGUCUGUUAGAAGUGCCUUUUCUCUGAGAGGAGAAAGGAUAAUGGAUACUUUUAAAGCUUCAACAGAUAAGAUCCUGCUCUUUGCUAGGAGAGAAGCUGCAAGAAGAGAAGGCAGCACUGCGAACCCUGAAGAUACCCACUUCCUUCACCUGGAACGAAAGACAAAUAUUUUCACUCCUCCAGAUUGGCUUUUCUAACUGUGUAUGGCUACAAGAAGCACCCCACAGCUGGGACUGGCUGGUGGCCCAGGACAUCUGGAUAUGGCUGGAAGCCUUGCUGGGAUGGAGAUGCAGACCUGAUGCUUGCUUUGGAGGGGAGAGGGACAAGGUAGUCACGUCUUCCAAAGGCUCAGAUUCCUCACUGUUGAAUGGGGACAGCAAGGAUCGACUUGGCUAUGGAAGAAGAUAUGUCUGGAUUCAGAUCCUGGGAUCCUGGCUCAGCCACCUACUACCCACAUUAAUGUCAGGCGAUAGACUCAAUUUCCCCAAUUCUUAAUCUCUUUACAUCUAAAUGGAAAUAAUGAGGCCUGAUUUGUAGCAUUGUUGCAAAAAUUAGGCAUAUCAUAAAGACAGCCCAUAACAGAGGAACAUAACACAGAGCCAGGUAUGGUAAUGGUAACAAAAUGUGUUUACUAAUCCUACCCUGGUAUGACCUGGUCUUCUGAAGCCUGCCCCCGGGUUCCACCAUGCAGCAGCUGACAACUGUAAUUCUAUAAUGACCCCUCUUCCUUUACCUUGGAUCAUCACGGAUAACUUGAAACUCAUUAACUCACAUGUGCUUGCAUUAUUAUAUAUUUCAAUUUCAAUUUGUUUUCUGAAAUAAAAUCCCUUGAAUUAAAA